GAUGAUUAAUGGCUCCCCAUGCUCCAGUCCGCCUUUCAGUGUGAAUCCCCAUGGAGCGCCUCCUUGAAGCAGUGCUUCCAGUCAAAUACAAAACCCACUCAGGCAAUCACAGAACAACGAAGUUGGAAACUAAACUCCCCAGAAGCCCACCACAAGUCAUCCCUGAAUACAUGAAACAAGAAGAGUCUGAGAUGGAAGAAUAUUCUUCAGAGCUGGAGUCCAAGGUGAUGGGUGAAAAAUGUUUCCCAUCAACAUUUCAGCAUGAUGCUUCUCCUUCAGAGUCAUGACGUUUUACUGGGGUUUCAGCACUGUGCUUUCCCCAUGCCCAGGUAUUCUGGGCAUGAUAGCUUUGUAAAGACUUCUUUUCCUGUCUUCGGUAUAUGAAACUCGUGUUUUAAAGAUGUGGGGGAGAAAAAAAGGAAAAAAAAAGUUUAUACAUUUAAAAGCUCCUGGCUAGCAAAUUGCCAAAAUCCAAACGAAUGCUUCAUUUGUGAUUGAUUAUCAGUCUUUUCUUCCUUUCUGCAUGCAAUUUACCAUUACAAUGGCCUUUUUGCCUCAGCCCACUGCACUAAAAGAAUGAAAGCGUC